CUGGAUUUGAGGGGUCACAGGACUUGGGUUUAAAUCCUGACCCUGCUACCUGUAGAACUACUUGAGUGAAAUUGGGUAAAUCAUUAAACCUCUCUAGCCCUCAGUUUCCUUAUCUGUAAAUGGUCUAAGUGAUCUCUUAACCUUUUGGGAGGAUUGGCCCUAACUCAAACUUUUUCUCCCGGUAAGAAACAAUAUUUUCUGUUGGCAACAAUACCUACGUAUGGUAGGUUUUCUGCUCUUUUUAAGAUGCCUACGUUGUGAUGUUGCUCUGAUCCUUUGAAGUAAAGAUUCACCCACAACAUAUGACUCAAUGACAGAUGAAAGAAAGGGCAUCCCCACAGGAAGAGAGACCUAUCUAGAGUUAGCCUUUGCCUGAUCAGACGCGCUGCCAAUCCUGGCCACUCCUGGUCAGCUAAGUCCCAUUUCUACCUCGGCCACAUUGGAAUGGAGCUCUGCAGGCAGACUCCUUGAAGAUGCUUGGGGAUGGCUUGUGUUCUCAUCUCUCCUCAACAUUCCCACUCUGCCUGUAGUUCUUGCAGUAGGCUGCCAAGUUGGUCCACCUGGGUCUUGGAACUGAGAUAUCACAUUUCCCACGUCUCAUGCCUUCCCUCCACCGGCCCUGCAUUAUUGAUGAUGACUCUGAGCCUCCCCAGCCUUCAUUUCCACAGAGGGUCAGGCUUCUCUCAUACCUAUUUGGUCUGAAGAAUCAGAGCAUUUUUCAAGACACCAGCCCGGGACAGUUUCUUAAACCAACUAUGAGACUACAAAUGGUUUUGCUUUUGCCUUAAUAGAAGACAGUGGAAUGUCCGUUCUUGUGUAUUUAAAAAAAAAUAAAGGAGAGAUUCCCCAGAGUGCUCUGUGUUAU
rnacentral:lncRNA from 1 species